GUGGGGAAUCUUGCGCAAUGGGCGAAAGCCUGACGCAGCAACGCCGCGUGCGGGAUGAAGGCCUUCGGGUUGUAAACCGCUUUCAGCAGGGACGAAAAUGACGGUACCUGCAGAAGAAGCUCCGGCUAACUACGUGCCAGCAGCCGCGGUAAUACGUAGGGAGCAAGCGUUGUCCGGAUUUAGUGGGCGUAAAGAGCUCGUAGGCGGUUUCGUAAGUCGAGUGUGAAAAAUCUGGGCUUAACUCAGUGGAGCACUCGAUACUGCGAUGACUUGAGUCUGGUAGAGGAGUGUGGAAUUCCUGGUGUAGCGGAGAAAUGCGCAGAUAUCAGGAGGAACACCAACGGCGAAGGCAGCACUCUGGGUCAGUACUGACGCUGAGGAGCGAAAGCGUGGGGAGCAAACAGGAUUAGAAACCCCUGUAGUCC
rnacentral:rRNA from 1 species